ACUUUUUAGUUUAAUUUAAGAAUUUUUUAUUUACGAUGAAAGGGUUAUUAAAAGUUUU
rnacentral:tRNA from 1 species